rnacentral:lncRNA from 1 species
UUUGGCUAAGGUAGCAGUUCACAACCACUGUCGUAGCCCUUUCCUGUAGUAGCGUAUGGUGGCAGAAGCGGUGGCUUACCUCAUGUUGCUGUCGAAAGCAGGCUAGAGGUCUGGCCAUCCUUAUUCGAGGGAAGGGAACAAUGGCAUAUGCUAGGAUGACCAUCGGAUGAGGGCUGGAGGAAUGACCCAAUUAACUUCAAUAGAGAGAGGGAGGAUGGCUGUGGGAGAACCUCUGUUUAUUGUCUCCCUCAUCUUCUUUUAUAUUUAUUUAUUUAUUUUAUUUAGCAAUUAUUUAAGAUCCUUAACUACAAGAAAAUUAAUUAUUAGCGAUGGCAUUUAACCAUUGCUAAUAAAGAAUAUUCUUGUAGUGCUUUCAAAAAUAAAUAAAUAAUAAAAUGUCACAAAUCCUCUAUGAAAAUCGGGAAUGGGUCUAGAUCAUGACAACUCCAGUCACUAGAAACUAGUCAGGGUG